CUCCAGCAUUGUGGUCCUUGGGCCCCUCCGCAUUCCACCCUGGUGUACAGGACCCAAUGGUGUCACAUGCCAUUCUUCUGAUUUUCAUGAAUAUCCUCUAAAAGGCAGCUAAGCACUCGCUGUCUUCUUCCUUUUGCCUCAUCAAGCACGGGGGACGCUGGAAGGAAGAGUAUUUGUACAGUUGAGCCGAAAUGCCUGUUCUAACAAAGAGAGCCUGGGUGGGACUGCCAAGAUGAAUAGACAUAAUCCUCGAUCUAACCACUUCACAGUUUAUCAUCGGAGUCAAGUUUGCAGAUAAACAAUUGCCAUGCAACUUUCAAGAAAAUGGUGCCUGAGAUGAGCAAGGUCAGCAGACAAGAAGUGAGGUCAAUGUCAGGUUUCCAUGCCAGCAGCGGGAACUCUGGAUACAGUGGAGAGUCACAGCUGGUCAAACCCUGAACCGCUUGCUCCUUGAAAUGGCCAGAGAGGCCCAUCCCAGAGCCAUCUCAUCAUCUCUCCUCAGACAGGAAACCGAGAAGGAAAACAAUCAGCUCUGUUCUCUCUGGGCCGAGGGAGUGAGCUGUAAUGAGGGAGCACAGGAACGCAUUGGGCGCCCUCAGACCUGAACACACAGGUUAGCACCACCUGCCUGGCUGACCUGGCUCACAGGUGCGCGGUUGCCAGUUGAGAAUAACUCAUCCAGGGUUGUUGAAUGGUGGAGGAUCUUCCAAAAUCAGCAGCUAGGAGGUCGAGAACCCUUCAUGCCAUACUAAGAAGUUUCAUGCUAGGCAAAGAAGAGUGACAAGGUAUUUCAACAGGUGAAUGAUAGGUACACAAAGAAGGAUUACCACAGGAAAUCCAGAGAGGCUUUAGAAGACGAGCUUGCGUUGAGAUAGAAGCCGGAAGCCCACUUAGCCAACUGCCUCCAUGGGACUUGGCAUGAGGCAGGCUUAUGACAGUAAAUGCUACACUGCCCUCAGUGAAAAAGAGAAUUUGGCAUUCAUUCUUCUGAACCCGCCAUCCCUCAGCCUUGGCGCCUGGGAAUUCUGCGAAUCGUUGCCUGUGGCAGUGACACUGAUUUGUAUCUGGGUAUGAACUUAAAUGAAAACAUGAAUUGAACUCAUUACUUGAGGAAGGAAACACUGCCAAAUUUAACAGGAUGAAAUUCCAGCAGGGUGUAAGGUUUUAUGGGGCUACAGUGGAAUAUCUCAUAGAAAGGUUUCCAGUUCAUAAAACACUUUCAAAACAUGCUCGGCCCUUUUAAGUUGAAGGGACAUUAUCAUUUCUAUCUAUGGCAUUUCUCUGCAAAUUGAACUCAAAUAUCCUUUGGGCUGACUACACAGAGAACAGAAGAAAGAAGUGGAAGAAACUUGGACUGAAGAUUGCCUCCCUGAAAAGGUUUUCUUCAGGCAGAAUUAGGUGAGAACAAAUGACAUCAGAAAGUAGCAUGUCAGUAUACUGCUGCCAGCUCCAUAUGGUUCAGCUUGUUUUCACAGGUAUUUAAUUAAUUCCACAAACAUAUAUUGAGUAUCAGAUGUGGGAUCCUGUUCAACACAUUUGGGGUACAGUAGUCAAUUAGUCUACUCUCAUGGCACAUACAUGCUGGAAGGAGAGAAAAACAAUAAAUAAAUGAACAAAAGAUGCAGUAUCAGGUAGUGAUCAUUGCUAUCAAGAAAAAUAAAGCAAGAGAAAAUGGGAUAGAAGGUGUCAGGGGUGCGGGGUGACAUUUUACAUAGUGUGUUUGGCAAAGGCAAUUCUCAGGUGGUGACAUUUGAACAGAAGCUUGAAUGAAGUGACCUACAUGUUGAAUCCAGAAAGCUAAUUUUAUAUAUAUAUAUUUUUGGAAGGGGGCAGGAGAUAAUAAGCUAGUAAAAGGGUUGGGAAAUUAUUUUGAUUCAAGGAUGCCCAGUUUAAAAAACUGUAAGAGACAGCCCCUCUUUUUCUCCCAGUAUAGCGCUUUCGGUGGCCAUUUGAAUAGAGCUCUGCAUGUUUCCUUGGGAUUUUCUGGUGUUCAUGGCAUAACAACCAGCCAGCAGUCUUCUGGCUGGACCACGUUUUACUUGCUAGCAAGGAGCAGAAGCUGUGGAAAUUGGCAUGUAGAGAUGUAAAAGGAUUUUAUACUUUUCAGCCUGGGCAGAAAAUUAUAGAGAAAAGUAGGUGGGAGUCAGAAAAACAUGAAAUGAGAAAGAAAAGCAUAAUCUGAGUGAGUUCUCUCUCUUUUUUUUUUUGUUUUCUAUGUUUAUCUUUCCACAGCUUUUUCACUGGCUCUGUUAAAAAGCAAAUAUCACUGCAAACUUCAUUUCAUUUUCUCUCAACAGAUGAAAUAAAGCUUGUUAAAAUGUUUUUCCCUUCUGUCAGGUGCAAACUCCAUGUUAGCAGGUUUGAAAACUUUCACAUGUUCAGAUAGCAAUGGAGGUUUUAACUUGGCCAACAUCAACAAACAAACCAUGAGUCCCUCACGUGUGCAAUGCUUGCAUAGAAUGAAAUUGAGUAUGAGCAUGUUUGCCAACCCUACUACAAAUGGUUUAUUUAGAAUAGUAGAAUGUGAAAAAUACAGAUUUAUUUUUAAUAGCUAGUACCAUGAUGAUUAUUGAUUUUUUCUUCCAGAUUAUUAAUUUAAAUAGCAAAAUUAUGCUACAUGUUUAAAAUAUGUCUGUAUCCUGAAAGUACUUAUUGUAAGCUUAAGCCCAGUCUUAUUUCUAAAAAGAUAAUUUGUAGGAGGUAUAAUUUUCAUUUGUAUUCAUGUAUAUUAAUAUAUUUUUUGGUGUUACACUGUUGCAUGAGGAUAGCUGUAAGGUCAGGAUAUUUAGGAAACCUCUGAAUUGAACAUUGAGCUUGUGGAUCUAAUAUUUAAGUAACUGGUUUCUGUCUACGUACUCUUUUCUCUUCCGUGGUAAGCCCUGCAGGCAAGCUCACUUCUCUAUGUUCUCAGUUGUAAAUGAGGAAAGUAGGACGAGGUAUGGAGCUGGAGGGUAAAUGGCAGAAUAGAAGACAGAGUGCCAUUCUGCGUAAGAGCACCACCUUUUGUGUUUGGCAGGCUUGGUUUUAGUCCUGAUUUUUCCAGGUCCAAGUAUAAUCUGGAGCAUUUCUCAAAUUCACUAAACCUCAGUUUCACCUUCUGUAAAACGAAGCUAUUUCAUUGAGUUAUUUUGGGUUACAUAUGUAAAAUUUACAGCCAAAUACUUAACACUCAAGUCUGUCAAGAAACAAUUCCAAAUAUUUUAUAAUAAAUAUAUAAAAAACUUUCACAAUUCAUGGAAUUUACUUCUUGAUUAGUUGCCAUGGUCUAUGGUUAUAAUGAAAUGUACUCUUGGCAGUCCUGGAUAGAGAAGCUCUUGAACCACAACCACAACCAUUACCUUGGAGAUGUCGAAACUGCCCUUUUCCCCGAGACCAUCAUUAGUGCUUUCCACGAACCUGGAUGAUAACCUCACGUUCACCUUUCAAAGCCAAGAAUAACAAGAGAAUUGAAUGUAAUGAUAAUGUUUCUUCUUAAAAUUAUGCCAAAUCCGACUUAGUUGAUGUGAGUUCUGCUUUUUAAAUUAAAGAAAGUACAAAGUCUAUUUUGUGGGUUGGCUAAAAGGGCACUGGUUAAAGAAAACAAUGGUUAUUUGUUUCUGAUGUACAAAUGAUCCACACAGACACAUCUUUAGAUGAAACCCCAAAUUCUUUACUGGUUGGGUUCUACAAAGAGUGACAGUAGUAAUUUGGUGAAGCAGCAGGGGGCAGAGGACUCUUGGUGGUAAGUUAACUUGAUUCUACUUUGAAAACUCUG
rnacentral:lncRNA from 1 species